UCUUACUGAGUACAUACAAUGUGUAAGUAGCAUGUUAAAUGCUACAAGAAAUAUAAAGAUGUUUGAAACAUGAUCCCUGUCUUCCAAGAGUCUUUUCAGUGUUUCUCAGCCUUCGCACUAUUGUCACUUUGAGCUGAGUAAUUCCUUAUUGCAAGGCUGUCCUGUGCAUUGUAGGAUUAUUAAUAGCAUCCCGGGCUUCUCCCUACAAGAUGUCAUUAGUCCCUUUUACCUCUCAAAAUUCCCUUUGUAGUUAUGACAACUAAAAACAAUUAUCUCCAAACACUGCCUAAUGUUCCCUAGAAACAAAAGCCCUCCCACUGGAGAUGAACAGCCUCUCGAAAAUAAUCAAGCCUGGAAAAGUGCCAAAUAGGCCAGGUCUCAACAGGCUGACAGGGUCACACAACCAAGCCAGUCAGUAAUACCAAGAAGGCAGAACUGAUCUCAGAGAUCUACAAGUGAGGAAUCCAAUGUUUCUAAUCUGCUUUUAUGGGUCCAUUUCUCUUCUCUACAAUCAACAAGGUGGCUCCUCCCUGAGCUCUCAGAUUUUUGUCAUCCUUCAAAUACAACAGGAUUAAGAAUUAUACUCUACCAAAGAAACAGAUUUUAAAAAAGAGGACACAUUCCUUGAAACCCUAUCUGCACCUCCUUGAUCUCAUUUCCCCAGGUAACUAAACAUGACACUGCUUAUAAACUUUAUAUACAUGAGUAAGUUACACAAAUAUGAUAGAUAUGGAACAGCAGGUGACUCUUAUGAAAUGAUAUUGGUGCCAUUAUUAAGAACUUAGGCUAAGUGGGUUGAAAGGUAUCCUUUUGUGUUUUUUUCCACAAUUUUAUGAUUCUUUGAUAUAUCCAUAGGAAUACAUGAAGCACUAGCUUUCUCAACUGCUAUGUAUUGUAAUAUAACAUUCUAUGAAUAUAAGAUAAACAAUUCAUUUUCCUGUUGGUGGACUUUUAGAUUGCUUCCAACUUUUCAUUACUAUAAACAAUAAUGGCUAUGAAAAUUUUUGUACAUGUAUGAGUUUCCUUGGGGAACAGUACUAUGUCACAGGUUAUGAUAAUCUUAAAUAUAUUGCUAGAGUAUUUGGUAUUCUGGCAAGCAGUGUUCAUAAUUAUCCAAAGUUUCCACAACAUUUGAAUUGUCAGAUUUAAACAUUUUAUUGUCAAUCUGAUGGAUGUAAAAUGGUAUUUGAUCUCUCUGAAAUUGCAGUAUGGUGCUGGGCAGCCAAGGAAAUGUGCUAUUCAGAAUACCCUCCCAUAAAGAUGUUGUGGAGGAAUGUAGUUAGGCACAUCAUUGCAGCAUUCAAUUCCCACCUAUGAUCAUCCUGGAGAACCUCCAGCCAAUUACUAACACAUCAGUGGUCAUUUCUAACACAGCUGGUCAUUUCUACCCAAUGUGGAACUCAUCUAACUGGCUUUUUUUUCUCUAGAGCUCCUCACUGAGUUGGCUGUGUAUUAUAGUCUGAAGCUCUCCCUGCCCAGUUUUGCUUCCUAGAUGUACAUCAUGGUCUGAAGGUUUUGCCUAUUUAAUCCUCGCUCCCUGCUUAUGUUUCACAGGAAUUACCACUAAUAUAACUCUUAAACUACUACCCAGUCUCAGAAACAACUUGAUGGAAAACUCAAAUUAACAUCAUGAUUGAUAACAUUAAAGUCCAAGCUUUUACUAGUACUAGUCAGGGUGCUCUGAUUUGUAUCCUGGUAAAUUUAUUAUCUCUGGAUAUUGGGAAGGUAUUCAAUUUCUCUAUACCUCAGUUUCUUCAUCUCUAAAAAUAAUAAUAGUAUCUACCUCACAGAUUUGAAAGAUUGAGUUAAUGCAAGCCCUUGGAAUACCUCUGGAACAUAAGGAUUCAAUGAAUACUAGUUAUUGUUUGCCUGGUAUGAUUUUGUUAUUUAUCACAAGAGUUCUAACUGACCUUGGUGAUGUAUUAAACGACUGAGUAAUAACCUGAUAAUAUUUAUUUGUCAUUUCCUUGUAGUUAGUGUGUAUUUAGGUGUUACCUAACCUUACUUAACAGCAGGUACUUUAAGAUAGUAUGUUCCCAAAUUAAACACUCAGUGCUGAUAAAUACUUCAAGUCUGAUUAUCUUUCAGUCACUGAUUAGCUUUCAUUCUAAAUUUUUUCAUCUUUUUGUUUUUGUUUUUGUUCCUUGAG